AUGGGUCUAAUUAGGUCAUUCACAUAUUUGCUUAGUAGAAGACUGAUUUUCCUUUGGAGCCAUAUGGAAGCUGCCACUUUACGAUCCAUCAUUUUAUUAAGAAGUUUCUUUCCUUCCUCAUCUUCCUAUCAACAUUUUCACAUCAUUUGCAAUUUCUUGCCUUGCCUUUCAAUCAACUCAUUAUCACCAACCUGA